AUAAUUUUACUAAUUAUAUUUUAUAUGUUGUCGCAUGCGACUUUAUUGAUAAAAAUAAUUGGUAAUAUUAUAAUAUUGUAUGCAAAUAAAGUUACAUCUCGAUGUGAACGUUAAUCACCUAUCUGACCCGUCUUGAAACACGGACCAAGGAGUCUAGCAUAUACGCAAGUUAUUGGGUAGUAAACCUAAUUCAAAAGAAAAAGAAAAAAAAGCAUAAUGAAAGUAAAGAUUAUCUUUAGUAUAAUUGAUAUGUGAUCUAUAUAUAUAUAUAUAUAUAGCGUAACAUAACCCCGUUCAUGUUGCAUGCAAUAGGGCGGAGGUAGAGCGUAUAUGCUGGGACCCGAAAGAUGGUGAACUAUACCUGAGCAGGAUGAAGCCAGAGGAAACUCUGGUGAAGGUCCGAAGCGAUUCUGACGUGCAAAUCGAUCGUCUGACUUUGGUAUAGGGGCGAAAGACUAAUCGAACUAUCUAGUAGCUGGUUCCCUCUGAAGUUUCCCUCAGGAUAGCUGGAGUACGUUAAAUAAAGCAGUUAUAUUCGGUAAAGCGAAUGAUUAGAGGAAUUGUGGGACGAAACGUCUUCAACCUAUUCUCAAACUUUCAAUGAGUAUGACGUCUCGCUUGCUUAAAAAAUUUUUAUGAAGCGUAGACAUUGAAUGUGUGCUCCAAGUGGGCCAUUUUUGGUAAGCAGAACUGGCGCUGUGGGAUGAACCAAACGUUGAGUUAAAGUGCCAAACUUUCCGCUCAUGAGACCCCAUGAAAGGCGUUGGUUGAUAUAGACAGCAGGACGGUGGCCAUGGAAGUUGGAAACCGCUAAGGAGUGUGUAACAACUCACCUGCCAAAUCAACUAGCCCUGAAAAUGGAUGGCGCUUGAGCGGGAGACUUAUACUCAACCGUUGCAUGGCUUGUGUUUUAUUUUGUGAAACCUGGCCGCAACGAGUAAGAGGGUCGCAAUGGUUAGCGUUGAAGACUUUGGGCGUAGGCCCGGUUGAAGCUUCCAUUGGUGCAGAUCUUGGUG
rnacentral:ncRNA from 1 species